GAUGAACGCUGGCGGCGUGCCUAAUACAUGCAAGUCGAGCGAACGGACGAGAAGCUUGCUUUUCUGAUGUUAGCGGCGGACGGGUGAGUAACACGUGGAUAACCUACCUAUAAGACUGGGAUAACUUCGGGAAACCGGAGCUAAUACCGGAUAAUAUUUUGAACCGCAUGGUUCAAAAGUGAAAGACGGUCUUGCUGUCACUUAUAGAUGGAUCCGCGCUGCAUUAGCUAGUUGGUAAGGUAACGGCUUACCAAGGUAACGAUGCAUAGCCGACCUGAGAGGGUGAUCGGCCACACUGGAACUGAGACACGGUCCAGACUCCUACGGGAGGCAGCAGUAGGGAAUCUUCCGCAAUGGGCGAAAGCCUGACGGAGCGACGCCGCGUGAGUGAUGAAGGUCUUCGGAUCGUAAAACUCUGCUAUUAGGGAAGAACAUAUGUGUAAGUAACUGUGCACAUCUUGACGGUACCUAAUCAGAAAGCCACGGCUAACUACGUG
rnacentral:rRNA from 1 species